rnacentral:rRNA from 1 species
GUACACUCCUGCGGGAGGCAGCAGUGGGGAAUUUUGGACAAUGGGGGCAACCCUGAUCCAGCAAUGCCGCGUGAGUGAAGAAGGCCUUCGGGUUGUAAAGCUCUUUUGUCAGGGAAGAAACGGUAGUAGCGAAUAACUAUUACUAAUGACGGUACCUGAAGAAUAAGCACCGGCUAACUACGUGCCAGCAGCCGCGGUAAUACGUAGGGUGCAAGCGUUAAUCGGAAUUACUGGGCGUAAAGCGUGCGCAGGCGGUUGUGUAAGUCAGAUGUGAAAUCCCCGGGCUCAACCUGGGAAUUGCAUUUGAGACUGCACGGCUAGAGUGUGUCAGAGGGGGGUAGAAUUCCACGGGUAGCAGUGAAAUGCGUAGAUAUGUGGAGGAAUACCGAUGGCGAAGGCAGCCCCCUGGGAUAACACUGACGCUCAUGCACGAAAGCGUGGGGAGCAAACAGGAUUAGAUAGCCUGGUAGUCCCAUGAU